AACAGAAUACUUGCCUGGAAUUAGGCGCUGCGACUAAGCACUUGCUGCUCAGCAGCUGGCAUACCGAGGUGCGACGGGACCGCAGGAUUGUUGCUCGCAUCCUCAACCUCCGGAUCUCCCAAUUCACUGUCGGAUGAUGCCAGCUCUCUAAUCUAGUUAUCAGUGUGCUCGUCCUCAUCGAUACUCGGUUCCACAACCGGGUGUAUUCCGCCCAUCGUAGUCGGCUCAUCCAUCGAGUACAGCUCCAUGAACAGGUUCUCCUCAAGAUCGACCAAAUAUUGCGGGCGGUUGGCCUUCCUGAACCACAACCACGUCGCGGCUGAUCCGGAUGUCACGCUUGACUGGACAGUAUACAGGAUACCCCUUAGCGCCAUCGGCGUAUCCCACGAAAAUCGUUUUCAAGGACGAACAACAAACUUUGCCCAGCAUGCACCGGAUUUUCUCGAUGACCGUUCGGCUUAUUCUCUCCGCCACACCAUCUUGCUCGGGGGUUAACGGACAAGUUUUCUCGUGGCGAAUUCCAUUCUUCGCCUUGAAAAGUGCCAAAUUAGUAUUGUCCAGACCAGACAUUCGCGCAUGUCAGACGUCCAAAGAUUGGCUCAGAACCGGUUCCACUAGAGAAGGAUGCUGCAUACCACUCAACAAUUUCAAGAUUUGACAAGGACCUCGACUGUUGAGCAAAUUUUUCACAUGAUUUUGCUGCGCGGGCUAAAAUCAUUCGCUGCAACGUGCGCCUGUAUCCGCAAAUAUAUGAAUAAUAUGUAAUGUAAAAUGUAUUGUUAUUGUUGUUGUUAAUAAUAAAACAUAUGGUGGUGGGGUGUUUUGGUGGGUUGGAACUUAUCCGAAAAUAGUGUGUGCGACCGUUUGGGGCUUAGGCAGGGGAUUAUAUUCUAUGUACUUUUCGCUCUUAUUCAGCAAAUUUUGUAUCAGCUGACACACCGUACGCUGCUUUGAAUUAUGCAGUAGACUAUGAUAUAUUAUUCAAAGUUAUAGGAAUUUAUGUUUAAGAAGUUUCACCAAGCCCUCCUGAGUUGCCAGUAGAUGCAAAUUAUCAGACACCAAAAUCUGACCAAAUUAUUAGAAUUCGUCUUUAUGAAGGUUCACCAAGUUUCUUAAAUUGCCAGGUGAUGCACAAGCUACGAGGUGACACACUACAUAAUAAUUUCUAAAUCUGAUACUUUUCCUUAUAACUUUUCAAACAGUCCAUGAGUAGUUCUUGUAAGUACUCAUAAAUUGUCAUUGCUGAGUAGGUUCAAGUAAGUACUCAUAAAUAGUGAUUGCUGAGUAGGUUCACCAUGUUCUCCCAAGUGGCGGGGUGACGCUAUACAUAACAAUUUCUGAAUGAUACUUGCCCCUUUAACUUUUAAACCAGUUCAUGAGUAAUUUUAUAAAGUACUCAUAAACUGUCAUUACUGAGUAGGUUCACCAUGUUCUCUCAAGUAGCGAGGUGACGCUAUACAUAACAAUUUCUAUAUCUGAUACUUUUCCCUAUAACUUUUGAAACAGUUCAUGAGUAUUCUUGUAAGUACUCAUAAAUUGCCAUUGCUGAGUAGGUUCAAGUAGGUACUCAUAAAUAGUGAUUGCUGAGUAGGUUCACCAUGUUCUCCCAAGUGGCGGGGUGACGCUAUACAUAACCAUUUUUGAAUCUGAUACUUUUUCCUAUAACUUUUGAAACAGUUAUUGAGUAUUCUUGUAAGUACUCAUAAAUUGUCAUUGCUGAGUAGGUUCAAGUAAGUACUCAUAAAUAGUGAUUGCUGAGUAGGUUCACCAUGUUCUCCCAAGUAGCGAGGUGACGCUAUACAUAACAAUUUCUAAAUCUGAUACUGAUGAGUAUUCUUGUAAAUACUCAUAAAUUGUCAUUGCUGAGUAGGUUCAAGUAGGUACUCAUAAAUAGUGAUUGCUGAGUAGGUUCACCAUGUUCUCCCAAGUGGCGGGGUGACGCUAUACAUAACAAUUUCCGAAUGAUACCUGUCCCUAUAACUUUUGAAACAGUUCAUGAGUAAUUUUAUAAAGUACUCAUAAACUGUCAUUACUGAGUAGGUUCACCAUGUUCUCUCAAGUAGCGAGGUGACGCUAUACAUAACAAUUUCUGAAUGAUACUUUUCCCUAUAACUUUUGAAACAGUUCAUGAGUAGUUCUUGUAAAUACUCAUAAAUUGUCAUGGCUGAGUAGGUUCAAGUAGGUACUCAUAAAUAGUGAUAACUUAGUAGGUUUACCAUGUUCUCCCAACUGGCGAGGUGACGCUAUACAUAACAAUUUCUGAAUGAUACCUGUCCCUAUAACUUUUGAAACAGUUCAUGAGUAAUUUUAUAAAGUACUCAUAAAUUGUCAUUACUGAGUAGGUUCACCAUGUUCUCUCAAGUAGCGAGGUGACGCUAUACAUAACAAUUUCUGAAUGAU